GUGGUGGUUAUUCUGCAGCGGGGUUUGCUUCCUCUAACGAAGGUGGCCAUGCCAGGGAGGGAGGAGGGGGAGACCUUAAGAACUGACCUGCUGUGAUCUCGCCUCCAGGCUGGAUUGACACUCUGUGAGUCACAGGAAAGGUACACUGGACUAUAACGGAAGACUGUUAAUGUUUGAUAACAAGAGUUCCUGGACAAGGUCAUCCCCCGUGUGUGUGUGUGUGUGUGUGUGUGUGUGUGUGUGUGUGUGUGUGUGUGUGUGCGCGUGUGUGUGUUUGCAUUUGUCGAAGAGUAGACUCACCCGUUGGGUGUCCUCAAUGUCGCUUUCUGUAUCGCUACCUGUAAAGGAACUAGAUUAAAACUUGCACAUAGCAAACGGCGCAUUUCGAACUGUGCACUGGGAAUGGAGAAAAAGAGACACAACCUGAACCCUGACAAGUACAGCUUCACAUAUGAUAUUGAUUCAAAGCCCAUCUCGCCACCCCUCCCCCGCCCAUCAAACACAGCGGAUCGAUAACUGCUGCCGAGUGAUAGACUCAGCUGUGCCUUGGAUGACUGGUCAAAAAACCAAGAAGAAGACACCUGCCACCACAACCUUCGGUGCUAAGUAGAGAAAGUCAAUGCAGAAAUUCAGUUCAGGAAUAACAGUAAAUUGAGCUUCAAGAAACCGCAUAAUUUAGGAUGUCACAAAAUUUGAAUUUCACACUUGGGUUAUUACCCCAAGCUGAGAACACUAAACCACUGUUAAACCGAUAUGGUCUGUUUCACAAGUUUAGGCACUCUGUUCCCAGCUUUAGAUAAGAUAAGACGAAUGCUAUACUGUGCUGACAUUGAGGAUGAGUUACAUAAUUGUUUCAUUUGCCCUCGUGUUCAAAUAAACAACAAUAAUCCAAACCAAAAACGAACCACA